CUACGGGGGGCAGCAGGCGAGAAAACUUUGCAAUGUGCGAAAGCACGACAAGGUUAAUCCGAGUGGUUUCUGCUAAAGGAACCUUUUGUCGGUCCUAGAAACACCGAUGAAUAAGGGGUGGGCAAGUUCUGGUGUCAGCCGCCGCGGUAAAACCAGCACCUCAAGUUGUGAGGAUGAUUAUUGGGCCUAAAGCAUCCGUAGCCGGCUCUGUUAGUUUUCGGUUAAAUCUGUAUGCUCAACAUACAGGCUGCCGGGAAUACUGCAGAGCUAGGGAGUGGGAGAGGUAGACGGUACUCGGUAGGAAGGGGUAAAAUCCUUUGAUCUAUUGAUGACCACCUGUGGCGAAGGCGGUCUACCAGAACACGUCCGACGGUGAGGGAUGAAAGCUGGGGGAGCAAACCGGAUUAGAUACCCCGGUAGUC
rnacentral:rRNA from 1 species